rnacentral:rRNA from 1 species
GAACAUAAGAGUUUGAUCCUGGCUCAGAUUGAACGCUGGCGGCAUGCUUUACACAUGCAAGUCGGACGGCAGCACGAGUACUUGUACUUGGUGGCGAGUGGCGAACGGGUGAGUAAUAUAUUGGAACGUACCGAGUAAUGGGGGAUAACUAUCCGAAAGGAUAGCUAAUACCGCAUACGCUUUGAGAAGGAAAGCAGGGGAUCUUCGGACCUUGCGUUAUUCGAGCGGCCAAUAACUGAUUAGCUAGUUGGUGGGGUAAGGGCCCACCAAGGCGACGAUCAGUAGUGGGUCUGAGAGGAUGAUCCGCCACACUGGGACUGAGACACGGCCCAGACUCCUACGGGAGGCAGCAGUGGGGAAUUUUGGACAAUGGGCGAAAGCCUGAUCCAGCCAUGCCGCGUGUCUGAAGAAGGCCUUCGGGUUGUAAAGGACUUUUGUUAGGGAAGAAAAGGUUGAUGCUAAUAUCAUUAACUGAUGACGGUACCUAAAGAAUAAGCACCGGCUAACUACGUGCCAGCAGCCGCGGUAAUACGU